UGCUGUGUGAGCGGGCGCUUGCUGCAGUUCGCUUUCUGCUUUAAUUGUAAUUCCUCACUCCCACUCAUGCACAUUCGCAGAAACCAAAAAUAAACAAGCCAAAUAAAUAAAUAAAUAAAUACAUUGAAAAGGAUAUCUGUAGAUCCAGCUCGCAGUCAAUGCCAUUAACUCUCGGUGAAAUGGGUAUAGAAUACCUGUGAGCUAAGUUUCUACAAAACUCAUCACUCUACGGUACCUACACGACCGCCAGGGUCUUUUUCAACAAAGAUGCCAGGAAACAGUGUCAUUGUUCUUGCAGACAUUAUUCAAGCCUUUGUGACUUUGACUUGUGUUAAAGGUCAAAGCACCAAUCCACCAGAUCUGUCAACAAAUAGAGGACUGCAUUCCAUUCUGGAGAACACUGUGUCAGCUGCAUUUGGGGCAACUGUGAUAAUCAUUAUAACUGUCAUUGUAUCAGGUAGUGCCUACCUGUGUUUUCUGAAAUAUAUUUGUUCUGGAUGCUGCAAAUCCACACAGGUUGUACCCGUGACAAGAAUGGACCCAAACAAAUCAGAAGAACAAGUAUAGCUUUUUGUUUCUGUUCUGCAGAUUCCUAAUGAAGCUACAACAACUCUUUGAUGUUUUCUUUGUUUCUUUAUAAGCAUUUAUUGUCGUGUUCUUCAGUUCUGGAGCAGACUCAUCUGUGAAGUUUUGCGUGGAACUGGCAACCUAAAGUCAGGGCUGGGUUAAAGGACGAGGAGGCCCUACUCAAACCCAUAUUUUGGGGGCCCUAUGCACAAUAGCUU